GAGUAUUUCAGUUCACCAUGCAAGCCAUAGGACACUUGCAACUUUGAAGAAACACAGAGCCCUGCAAGAGUAACGACGUGUAAGUCAAUUGUAUUUUUGUAAACUCUUUUAUGUAUUAGAUUAAGAAUUGGAAAACAUAUGGGGUGUUUAUACAUAUCUAUUUUGGUAUAACUAUCAUAGUUACUAUUAGUAUGUGCCUAUGUUUAUGUUUAGAAAUUGACAACAUGGAUAGGCCUUGAACUGAAGCAGGACCAAGCAAGUAAUUAAGAUUAAAAGAGACAGCAAUAUAUCCACAACAUACCGUAGAAGAUUCUGAGAAUCACAGUAAGAAGAAAAUUACCAUACGUCAAAAGACUGUUUAAGAUCUAACAUAAAUAUCCACAACCUGAAGAAGGACUUCCUGAAACGAGGCAUUGUACCCGGGAUUACUUGUUGUUGCAUAGUUUUGUUUGUAUACACACAAUAGUUGUGGACUGUUUUCCAUUGAGAUUGAUGUAUGCUUUACUUUAUAUGUUACAUAAUAAGGUUGUAUAAUUGUACUUGUAUAUACACCAUAUUUUUGGACUGUUUUCGGUUGGAGAUUGAUGUGUGUUUUGCUUUAUAUGUUACAUAAUAAGAUAGUACUCAGUUGGGACUGUAAAGAAAAUACUCAACAAUACUAGCAUACUAUAAUACACACGUUAAAAUCUGUAUGAGAGUAUAUACAUUUAAGUUGUUUUAUACACACACACACACACACCAUUCUUAUAGCAUGACUAGACUUAAUGUCAGGAGAAACAUUUACCUUUACCUACAUGUUAUACUCUUCCUGAGGAAAAAAAAACUUGGCUCUAACAAUCCAAAGUUUUAUUCUAGACUCAAGAAAAGCUUUGAGAUAGUUACUUUUGUAUCAUGCUGAUGACUGAUGGGGUUUAACUUCUAAUUACCUUACUAAUAUCCUCCUCGUACCUGAAAUGGAUGGAAAAUGUUUGUGGCAAUAAGUCUACUGCUUCAAGCACUAUUCUCUCAGAAUAGCUUUAUUCUGGCCUAGUAACUUCUGUUCUAGUAAUACUUAGAUACUCAUGAUUUUUUAUCUUUACUGAAGUCUCCAGCCACCAGCUGAAAAGACCAAGAUUUAUGAAGAUCAAACCCUGCCAGAUGUCUUUUCCUUUUUACUUGCAAAAGGUUCAAUUAGGUAAUGAAGCAUUUGAUGCACACUGCAAAGAGGCGGAGCAUUGCUGACUGCACACCAUUCUCUUCCUGGGAAAACAGAGGGUAACAUUUGCCACAUCAGAUCAGAACACUGAUCCAUCAAGUGUUCCCAUUUGCUUCUGGAAGCGCCCCUGCCAAGCUGGCCAGGCUCCAGUCUGACCAAUUAUGCUUUCUGCAACAUGUGAGCUAUUUUAGGUGAACUAGGGUGGGGGAAAGUAAACUGAGUCAGGCUAAGAACAAAGUUUUGAAGCUUCAACUUCAGAAGAAAACUACAAACUUAAAUAAUGCCAGAAAAUCAAUUUAAAGUAGUUAUAUACUUCUAUUCAAUGCGCAAUGAGUGGGAAUAGGGUUGAAGUGAGAAAUAAGUGAUGGGGCUCUUGCCCAACUCCCAACAGCCCCACCCCAGUAUAUACAAUUUCUUGGCAUUGGGGAUGCAAAUAUUUGUUAAUUUUCUUUUCAGAGGAAAGGCUGAAUGAACAAUUUCACCCUGGCGCAGGGAAAUCUUUGAAAACAUGUUGUUUCCAAAGUCAAUGUAUAGAUCUCUAAUCUAGGGAUUAAAGUUUGCUGUUUUAUCUGGGCUUCGCCCCAUGUAAGCCGCCCCGGGUCCCUUCGGGGAGAUGGAGACAGGGUAAUAAAAUUAG